AGCGAACGUUAGCGGCGGGCUUAACACAUGCAAGUCGUACGCGAAAGGGCUUCGGCCCCGGUAGCGUGGCGUCCGGGUGAGUAACACGUAGGGAAUCUACCCUCGGGUGGGGAGUAACGUUCCGAAAGGGACGCUAAUACCGCAUAAGACCUCGUCGGCUCCGGCCGAUGCGGUCAAAGAUGGCCUCUGUACACAUGCUAUCGCCUGAGGAUGACUCUGCGGCGCAUCAGCUAGUUGGUGGGGUAAUGGCCCACCAAGGCGAAGACGCGUAGCUGGUCUGAGAGGAUGAUCAGCCACACUGGCACUGAAACACGGGCCAGACUCCUACGGGUGGCUG
rnacentral:rRNA from 1 species